ACCAUGUUUAUAUUAUAGUGUCCAAUAAAGGCACUGCUUAUCUAUUGUAUCAUCUAAUUGUAGCUUUUCGAUCUUCGGAUUUAACCUGAAAUAGUUGUGUACAAUUUUAUCACUUUGCCAGUAUUGUUUCAAUUUAGUGCAAGAGAAUGGGCUCAAGUGUUUACCUGGAGGUUCUCUAAAAUUGUAGUUGCUUUUGUUUUAAUCUUGUCAUAAUUUUUCUCAUGUUAAGCAUCAUUGAGAUGGAAUAGACAAAUAAUAUAAAUCUUG
rnacentral:misc_RNA from 1 species